GGCCCAUGUAAGUUCUGGAUUUUUUUUUUCCUCUUUUUGUGCCUUCCCUCUUUUAAGGUAGGAAACACGUGUACUGUCUAUGUCAUUGUAAGUGAAGCUCGAGUAGAUUAGCUUUCAUGAUCAUACAACAAUGUUCAUGUCUAGUUGCGGGGGUGGCAAGUUUACAUAUAGUAUAACUACGAAUAAAAAAAAAAAAUCCAGAACUUACAUGGGCC
rnacentral:misc_RNA from 1 species